AUUGAACGCUGGCGGCAUGCUUUACACAUGCAAGUCGAACGGUAACAGGUCUUCGGAUGCUGACGAGUGGCGAACGGGUGAGUAAUGCAUCGGAACGUGCCCAGUCGUGGGGGAUAACGUAGCGAAAGCUACGCUAAUACCGCAUACGAUCUAUGGAUGAAAGCGGGGGACCGUAAGGCCUCGCGCGAUUGGAGCGGCCGAUGUCAGAUUAGGUAGUUGGUGGGGUAAAGGCUCACCAAGCCAACGAUCUGUAGCUGGUCUGAGAGGACGACCAGCCACACUGGAACUGAGACACGGUCCAGACUCCUACGGGAGGCAGCAGUGGGGAAUUUUGGACAAUGGGCGCAAGCCUGAUCCAGCAAUGCCGCGUGCAGGAAGAAGGCCUUCGGGUUGUAAACUGCUUUUGUACGGAACGAAACGGUCUGG
rnacentral:rRNA from 1 species